rnacentral:rRNA from 1 species
GACAGAAGUCCCGAGCGUAGGCGGAAUCACUGGGCUUAAAAGCGUGUGUAGGCGGAUUUGUAAGUACCUUGUGAAAUCCCACAGCUUAACUGUGGAACUGCUUGGUAUACUGCUUAUCUUGGGCCACUUAGGGGUUACCGGAACAAACGGUGGAGCGGUGAAAAUGCGUAGAUAUCGUUUGGAACGCCAAUGGUGAAAAACAGGUAAACU